rnacentral:sRNA from 14 species
CGUAAACAAUAGGAAGAUAGAAAUAAAUGAUAAAUGGAAAUGACAAUGACGAGUGUAAGGAGGAGAAUGCUUGGUAAAGGUGGUGGUGCUGAUGUUAUUACUUUUUUUGGGUUGUACCAUUCUCU